UUAUUGUCCAAAGGUUGCAUGUUUGCGAGCAGAAUUGAGGAGAGUGGGGGUUUAUUCAAUCGCCUCCUACUCCUCAGAAGGCAGCCCACCCUCCAGCCUCUCUUUCUCCACCUCUUCACACAGAUCACUGGGGUCGUGGCCUGUUCCCGAGGGAGCCGUAUAUCCUCCGCCUUGGGCUCGUCAGAGUAGUGGAAGAAGAAAAAGGAUUCUGCGGGUCCAUGACAUGAACCAUCCUCCCCUAAGCAGCCUCCGCUGAACUAGCUGGAGAAGAACCAUGCUCUGAGGGGCAAAGAAUUUAAAUGCCCACUGGACACCCAGACUGCAUCUUCAAGAAACAAAGUGAAGCAAUGUUUAAUAACCACUCAUGAGAUUAAAUACGUACACACGUUUUAUUGACAAGCUACAAUAUGUAAUUUACAGCAACAAAUACCUUCAAAGUAAUUCACUAUAACAUGAAACAUUUGCAGUUAGGAUGCUGACACCAGAGUAGCAUUUUCUGUUUCAAUUGACAGUUUGAAGGAUUAAACAGGUUCUUAUGGAGCACACGGAGGGAUAGCUCUUUCCACAUGAGUCAUCGUUCCAGCCGUUUUCAGCUUAAGAGGAAACACGAAAUAGAAAUUACCUCUCGAUGUACACUCGAAAAGAGAAAAGUAGCUCACAUUUAUUUGUUUAAUUUGAUGAAUGAUAAUGUACCUCCAAAGUUGAAAUGAAUACAUGGCUCUCUGGCACCAUUGUUGUUAUUCGGCUCCCCUUCAGCCCAGCUCUCGUGAUCAAAUUUGGAGCCGUCACU